rnacentral:rRNA from 1 species
CCUACGGGAGGCAGCAGUGAGGAAUAUUGCGCAAUGGAGGAACUCUGACGCAGCAACGCCGCGUGGGGGAUGAAGCUCUAUGGAGUGUAAACCCCUGUAAGCAGGGACGAAAGGUAUCUAUUCGAAAGGGUAGGUACGUGACGGUACCUGCAGAGUAAGCUCCGGCUAACUCCGUGCCAGCAGCCGCGGUAAUACGGGGGGAGCGAGCGUUGUCCGGAAUUACUGGGCGUAAAGCGCACGUAGGCGGCAUUGCAAGUCGUAGGUGAAAGCCCUCGGCUCAACCGAGGAAUUGCCUUCGAAACUGCGCUGCUUGAGUCCGGGAGGGGGGAGCGGAAUUCCCAGUGUAGCGGUGAAAUGCGUAGAUACUGGGAGGAACACCGGUGGCGAAGGCGGCUCCCUGGACCGGUACUGACGCUGAGGUGCGAAAGCGUGGGUAGCAAACAGGAUUAGAUACCCUGGUAGUCCACGCCGUAAACGAUGGGCACUAGGUGCAGCGGGUGUCGACCCCUGCUGUGCCGAAGUUAACGCAUUAAGUGCCCCGCCUGGGGAGUACGGUCGCAAGGCUGAAACUUAAAGGAAUUGACGG